AGAGUUUGAUCCUGGCUCAGAUUGAACGCUGGCGGCAUGCCUAACACAUGCAAGUCGAACGGAAACGAUGGAAGCUUGCUUCCAGGCGUCGAGUGGCGGACGGGUGAGUAAUACUUAGGAAUCUGCCCAUUAGUGGGGGACAACUCGAGGAAACUCGAGCUAAUACCGCAUACGCCCUACGGGGGAAAGCGGGGGUCUUCGGACCUCGCGCUAAUGGAUGAGCCUAAGCCGGAUUAGCUUGUUGGUAGGGUAAUGGCCUACCAAGGCGACGAUCCGUAGCUGUUCUGAGAGGAAGAUCAGCCACACUGGGACUGAGACACGGCCCAGACUCCUACGGGAGGCAGCAGUGGGGAAUAUUGGACAAUGGGCGCAAGCCUGAUCCAGCAAUGCCGCGUGUGUGAAGAAGGCCUGCGGGUUGUAAAGCACUUUCAGUAGAGAAGAAAAGCUUAGGGUUAAUACCCCUGGGUCUUGACGUUACCUACAGAAGAAGCUCCGGCUAACUCCGUGCCAGCAGCCGCGGUAAUACGGAGGGAGCGAGCGUUAAUCGGAAUUACUGGGCGUAAAGCGCGCGUAGGCGGCUUUGUCAGUCGGAUGUGAAAGCCCUGGGCUCAACCUGGGAAUGGCAUUCGAUACUGCAGAGCUAGAGUAUGGUAGAGGGAAGUGGGAUUUCCGGUGUAGCGGUGAAAUGCGUAGAUAUCG
rnacentral:rRNA from 1 species